AUGAUCCUGUGGCUAAACUUGGUGUCCUUACUCGCAGUCUUCAGAGGAGUCCAAUCUCAAUACCAGUUGGUGGGGUCUGGUGGGGACCUGAGGAGACCUGGAGAAUCCCUACAUCUCUUUUGCCAAGGUUCUGGUUUCAACUUUGGUGGCUAUAAUAUGAACUGGGUGAGACAGGUUCCUGGGAAAAGACUGGAAUGUGUAGCAUGGACACGUUAUGAUGGAGGAGCAACCUACUACUCAGACAAAGUGAAGGGGCGCUUCACCAUCUCCAGGGACGAUGCCAAAAGCCAGCUCUAUCUGCAAAUGAACAGCCUCAAAGCUGAAGACACGGCGGUCUAUUACUGUGCAGGAGGCACAGUGAGAGGAAGUGAAUCGGGAGCCAAGCAAAAAGUGCCCAAUUCCCAUACAGGUCCUCAGGGAAUUUCUUUGAAAACAGGAUUCUUACAAUUUGGUGUAUCUAUCCUUUGGUCAGUUUUCACACCAGAGGGGCACGAUUCUCACACAGCUACCAGGGCAGCAAGGGCAUGCAAAUCAACCAUUGUGUACAAAUAA